rnacentral:rRNA from 1 species
GUGUCAGCAGCCGCGGUAAAACGUAGGAGGCAAGCGUUAUCCGAAUUUACUGGGCGUAAAGCGCGUGCAGGCGGUCCAACAAGUUGGAUGUGAAAUCUCCUGGCUCAACUGGGAGAGGUCGUUCAAAACUGUUGGACUGGAGGACGGUAGAGGGAGGUGGAAUUCCCGGUGUAGUAGUGAAAUGCGUAGAUAUCGGGAGGAACACCUGUGGCGAAAGCGGCCUCCUGGACCGUACCUGACGCUCAGACGCGAAAGCUAGGGGAGCGAACGGGAUUAGAUACCCUCGUAGUCC